GACGAAGGGGGCUAGCGUUGUUCGGAAUUACUGGGCGUAAAGGGUGCGUAGGCGGGUUUUUAAGUCAGGGGUGAAAUCCUGGAGCUCAACUCCAGAACUGCCUUUGAUACUGGCGACCUUGAGUCCGGGAGAGGUGAGUGGAACUGCGAGUGUAGAGGUGAAAUUCGUAGAUAUUCGCAAGAACACCAGUGGCGAAGGCGGCUCACUGGCCCGGUACUGACGCUGAGGUGCGAAAGCGUGGGGAGCAAACAGG
rnacentral:rRNA from 1 species